rnacentral:rRNA from 1 species
CCUACGGGAGGCAGCAGCCAGGAAUCUUGGGCAAUGGGCGAAAGCCUGACCCAGCAACACCGUGUGGGUGACGAAGGCCUUAGGGUCGUAAAGCCCUGUUGAUAGGGACGAAGGGCGAAGGGUUAAUAGCCCCUAGCUUGACGGUACCUUUCGAGGAAGCCCCGGCUAACUACGUGCCAGCAGCCGCGGUAAUACGUAGGGGGCGAGCGUUGUCCGGAAUUAUUGGGCGUAAAGAGCGUGUAGGCGGUUCGGUAAGUCUGCUGUGAAAUCCUGGGGCUCAACCCUGGGCGUGCAGCGGAUACUGCCGGGCUAGAGGGUGGUAGAGGCGAGUGGAAUUCCGAGUGUAGCGGUGAAAUGCGCAGAUAUUCGGAGGAACACCAGUAGCGAAGGCGGCUCGCUGGGCCACACCUGACGCUGAGACGCGAAAGCGUGGGGAGCGAACAGGAUUAGAUACCCUGGUAGUCCACGCUGUAAACGAUGGGUACUAGAUUUGGUGGGUCUUGACCCCCGCCGAAUCGGCGCUAACGCAAUAAGUACCCCGCCUGGGAAGUACGGUCGCAAGACUAAAACUCAAAGGAAUUGACGGGGGCCCGCACAAGCGGUGGAUCAUGUGGUUUAAUUCGAAGCAACGCGAAGAACCUUACCUGGAUUUGACAUCCGCUGACAACCCUAGAGAUAGGGCUUUCGUAGCAAUACGACAGCGAGACAGGUGCUGCAUGGCUGUCGUCAGCUCGUGUGGUGACAUGUAGGGUUAAGUCCCGCAACGAGCGCAACCCUUGUCCUUAGUUGCCAGCAUUAAGUUGGGCUCUCUAAGGAGACUGCCGUGGUUAACACGGAGGAAGUGGGGAUGACGUCAAGUCCUCAUGGCCUUUAUAUCCAGGCGACACACGUGAUACAUGGACGGUACAGAGGGACGCCAGAGGCAACUCGGAGCUAUCUCAAAAGCCGUUCUCAGUUCGAUGAGUCUGCACUCGACUCCAUGAGUGAUCGCUAGUAUCGCGAUCAGCACGCCCGCGGUGAUACGUUCCCGG